UGCUUCGCUGUCUCACUUUCACUCCCCUUCAUUCUGUCUGCUCAGUCAUCCUAAUGUGUUUCUUGUGGUGUCCCUAUCCAGUGCUGGAAUGUAACAUUACAUUAAACCCGCUGGUGUUUCUUGCCCCUUCAGACCCCGACCCCAGCAAUUAACAAGCUUGGUGGGCUGCUGAUUUCACUCACAUUGUUUGGAAAAGGCCACAGGCUGGGAGGCUGCUUUGCUGGGAUCCCUGACCCAGAUAGGUGAACGUAGUCCAGUCUGCCGAAGAAGCUCCAAGGCUCCUUCCCGU